rnacentral:rRNA from 1 species
UGGGGAAUUUUGGACAAUGGGGGAAACCCUGAUCCAGCCAUCCCGCGUGUGCGAUGAAGGCCUUCGGGUUGUAAAGCACUUUUGGCAGGAAAGAAACGUCGCGGGUUAAUACCCCGCGAAACUGACGGUACCUGCAGAAUAAGCACCGGCUAACUACGUGCCAGCAGCCGCGGUAAUACGUAGGGUGCAAGCGUUAAUCGGAAUUACUGGGCGUAAAGCGUGCGCAGGCGGUUCGGAAAGAAAGAUGUGAAAUCCCAGAGCUUAACUUUGGAACUGCAUUUUUAACUACCGGGCUAGAGUGUGUCAGAGGGAGGUGGAAUUCCGCGUGUAGCAGUGAAAUGCGUAGAUAUGCGGAGGAACACCGAUGGCGAAGGCAGCCUCCUGGGAUAACACUGACGCUCAUGCACGAAAGCGUGGGGAGCAAACAGGAUUAGAUACCCUGGUAGUCCACGCCCUAAACGAUGUCAACUAGCUGUUGGGGCCUUCGGCCUUGGUAGCGCAGCUAACGCGUGAAGUUGACCG